UUGAGGCUUGCCCACGCUUGAGGGGAAAGGGCGGGAAAGUUGGGCAAAUGGUCGGCAGCACGAGGGAAAAGUGGGGGAGAGAGAGAGAGAGAGGGAUUAACAUUCGUGUGGACUAACCCUCGCUUCCCCAUCCCCGGGGCACACACUGUCUUGCGCCCUAUGCAGACCUCUGAACUGGGUACGUUGGAGAGUACAAGAAAGCGACUGUAAGAAUGGAGGGUCACAGGGAAGCAUGAAGUUCAGGCCUCUAAGCACCGGACCCAGAACUCCCAUAUUCCGAGGCACCUACAAAGAGCAAGGAGCACGGACCAAGCAAGCCUCUGCCCGAGCAUGGGCAUCGCGCAUUUCCAGGUCGGAUAUGGAGGUUGACUCAAGGCAAGCCCCGGUGGAGGCUAAAACUACACAUGCUGAGUCUGCACCCAGUGGAGUCUGAGGAAAGUUGGAGCAAAAUUAAUUCACUGAUGUGGAGUCAAACACGUGUGAAGAAAAUUAAGUAAUUUUGGUCACUUGAAAAAAAGUGUCAGUUGUGACUGUACCCAGGGAUCACUCUGGAGAACCUCACUCAGAACAAGAUUGUAGCGAAGUGAUGAGAGAGUUGUCACAAGGCCAAGCUGAAGUUUCUCCUGGACGCCCACCCAGUCACUUCAGGCCUGGACUCAGUAACACAUUUCAGCUGGCCCCCAGACCCUUCUGACACUGAAUAAAUGUUCCAGUGGAAGAUGGAGAAAUUUGGCCUCAGGAGCUCCCGCAGUCUUUGGCCUUGAUUGCAAUUUCCUUGUUGUUUGGAAGCUCCAGAAAGGAAGUACGGCCCAGGUUCUCCAGAGAAAGGAAGUGGAGGA